UAAUCUCGUGCCGACGACUUUCGGCCUC
rnacentral:sRNA from 1 species